UAUUGCACAAUGGGCGCAAGCCUGAUGCAGCGACGCCGCGUGAGGGAUGACGGCCUUCGGGUUGUAAACCUCUUUCAGCAGGGAAGAAGCGAGAGUGACGGUACCUGCAGAAGAAGCGCCGACUAACUACGUGCCAGCAGCCGCGGUAAUACGUAGGGCGCAAGCGUUGUCCGGAAUUAUUGGGCGUAAAGAGCUCGUAGGCGGCUUGUCACGUCGGGUGUGAAAGCCCGGGGCUUAACCCCGGGUCUGCAUCCGAUACGGGCAGGCUAGAGUGUGGUAGGGGAGAUCGGAAUUCCUGGUGUAGCGGUGAAAUGCGCAGAUAUCAGGAGGAACACCGGUGGCGAAGGCGGAUCUCUGGGCCAUUACUGACGCUGAGGAGCGAAAGCGUGGGGAGCGAACAGG
rnacentral:rRNA from 1 species